GGAAGGUGCAAGCGCUAAUCGGAAUCACUGGGCGUAAAGCGCGCGUAGGCGGUUAGAUAAGUUGGGUGUGAAAGCCCCGGGCUCAACCUGGGAACUGCAUUCGAUACUGUCUGACUAGAGUGUGAUAGAGGGAGGCGGAAUUCCGCAUGUAGCGGUGAAAUGCGUAGAGAUGCGGAGGAACACCAAUGGCGAAGGCAGCCUCCUGGAUUAACACUGACGCUGAGGCGCGAAAGCGUGGGGAGCAAACAGGAUUAGAUACCCUGGUAGUCCACGCCCGUAAACGAUGUCAACUAGCCGUUGGGAGCACUUUGGCUCUUGGUGGCGCAGCUAACGCGGUAAGUUGACCGCCUGGGGAGUACGGUCGCAAGAUUA
rnacentral:rRNA from 1 species